rnacentral:rRNA from 1 species
CGGAUUGCAGGCUGCAACCCGCCUGUAUGAAGUUGGAAUCGCUAGUAAUCGCGGAUCAGCAUGCCGCGGUGAAUACGUUCCCGGGCCUUGUACACACCGCCCGUCACACCAUGAGAGUCGGGAACACCCGAAGUCCGUAGCCUAACCGCAAGGGGGCGCGGCCGAAGGUGGGUUCGAUAAUUGGGGUGAAGUCGUAACAAGGUAGC